UACGAAGGGGGCUAGCGUUGCUCGGAAUCACUGGGCGUAAAGGGUGCGUAGGCGGGUCUUUAAGUCAGGGGUGAAAUCCUGGAGCUCAACUCCAGAACUGCCCUUGAUACUGGAGAGCUUGAGUUCGGGAGAGGUGAGUGGAACUGCGAGUGUAGAGGUGAAAUUCGUAGAUAUUCGCAAGAACACCAGUGGCGAAGGCGGCUCACUGGCCCGAUACUGACGCUGAGGUGCGAAAGCGUGGGGAGCAAACAGG
rnacentral:rRNA from 1 species